AUUGAACGCUGGCGGCAGGCCUAACACAUGCAAGUCGAGCGGAUGAAGGGAGCUUGCUCCUGGAUUCAGCGGCGGACGGGUGAGUAAUGCCUAGGAAUCUGCCUGGUAGUGGGGGAUAACGUCCGGACACGGGCGCUAAUACCGCAUACGUCCUGAGGGAGAAAGUGGGGGAUCUUCGGACCUCACGCUAUCAGAUGAGCCUAGGUCGGAUUAGCUAGUUGGUGGGGUAAAGGCCUACCAAGGCGACGAUCCGUAACUGGUCUGAGAGGAUGAUCAGUCACACUGGAACUGAGACACGGUCCAGACUCCUACGGGAGGCAGCAGUGGGGAAUAUUGGACAAUGGGCGAAAGCCUGAUCCAGCCAUGCCGCGUGUGUGAAGAAGGUCUUCGGAUUGUAAAGCACUUUAAGUUGGGAGGAAGGGCAGUAAGUUUAUUUCUUGCUGUUUUGACGUUACCAACAGAAUAAGCACCGGCUAACUUCGUG
rnacentral:rRNA from 1 species